rnacentral:piRNA from 1 species
UGGACAUAUUAACUUGAGAAA